CCUGAACACCUGGUUCCUGAACACCUGGGCUGUGUCUGAAAUCACUCCCUAUCCACUAUGUAGUGGACACGCCAUUUUGUAGUGCAGUCUGAAUUCUGAGUGAGCAUGGUCAUACCCUAUAUAGUCCACUCAAUGUAUCCCACAAUGCAUUUUGAAAAGUAGUGUAUGAGCGAUGGUCACUAUGCAAGCAAUAUAUACCAUCAUGCAUUGCGGUUCAAACAGAAGAAAUGGCCGACAGACAGGACCACGAAAGCGUGCAGCGGGAGCUGACUUUUAAAAUGUUCAACGAUUGUUUCACUUUGGAUUUCCGCUUUUCAGGAUUAUGAGACACGUUAUAACUUGUAUAUCACAGGUACUAUAAUUACGCCUCUACGGUAAAAACCCAGCUAGCUAGCAUUAGCCUUUAGCUAUCUUUUAGCCACCAUUAGUAGCAUGUUAGCAUUGCUAACUAGCGUCAGCGGUAAAUUGCAUUGGCAUUUCACUAAAGUACCGGAGCAAAAUUGAUCUUAUUCUGUUCAGGGACUGAUGACGAUGUAGCCCAGCUGAUCCGGCUGAGGAGGGAGAAGGACCACCCCUUCAGCGGGAGGCGGUUUGCUGCUGCUGCAGGAUGGGAAACUUUGCUGAAAGACAUGCUGCUGUCUGAUCGAGUCAGUCCUGCUCGGGCGGAUAAAAAGUGGGAGAACUUGAAGAAAACGUACAAGUCAUGAUCAUCCAGAGCUGGCGGAUUUUCAAUCGGGGCUGAAAGAGCAGCAGCCAUGCGUCCACGCAGCUGCUCCCCACACUGCGAGUCAGGCUGAAGCUGGCCGUCUCCAUCAUCCGGCCUCAGUGCCUCUUCAACUGGUUCAAUUGUGUCGCCAUCCCUGAGGCAGAAAUUGUGGAGGAUGGCACAACAAGCCACCACCUCCACAGAGAACACAGGGCUCACUUCUAGGGCCUUGAAAAAGACGGAGCGCCAUCUAGCCUUCAUAAUACCAAAGGCCCGCUCGAUAACUGUCAUGAUUUGGUUUUGAAUUUGAGUUUCCCUGUUUUACCCCAGUGUUGCUUGUUUCCCUUGUGUGUUAAUGUU